AACUUAUUUUGACUUUUUUUAAAAUGAUUUCUUCGUUUUUUAUUCAGGUUAGGGAUUUUUAAUGUACGACUCCUUUGUAGUCAGCUUUUUUGAUGUGUAAUUUUUGUAAUGCGUAUGCAAUGAUAAUUGAAUUGAAGUUUUAUUAUACUGGCUUAUUAGUACAAGAAAUACAAAAACUUAUGCUUAACACUAGAGAAGGGGACUCUAAAUUAAACAUUUAGACAAAUUAAAGUAACUUACUUGCCUAGUUUCGUCAGUUUACAUCCUCUCUAAGCCAAUACUUAUACAAUCAAAUUAUAAUUUAGCAAGAUGAACAAACAAAACCAUCUCGCAGCUCAAAGGAACGCGACAAAGUUGGUUGCAUACCAAGACUGGCUGAGUUUGUAAAUUUAGAUACAAUUACGAUUUCAAAUCAUUACCCAAUUAUAAUUUAUAUCAACUUACAUUUUACUUAAUUACUUAAAUUAUAUUUGUUGGAAAAAUUGCAUCAGAAAACCAACUUAAUUUUGACAUACAAACCAAUUUUGAUUCCCCAACCAACCGAGUGGAUACAGGCAGAAGCCAGGUGGUAAUUCUGAUCGUAAAAAUACAUAAAAAUACGAUUUAAAAAUACAAUUUUUGACUGAAAUGGUUGUUCAGUUUGAUAAUGAGGGAUUUUCACACAUUGCCAAUUAAAUUUGAAGUUAUUACCAAUUAGAAUUAAUUAAAAUUAGAUUAAAAAUAAAUAAAUUUAGAGGAGCUCGUGCAAGAGCAAAUCCUCCUCGGUUGGCGCGCUGACGGGAUAAUAAGUGAAAUAAAAUAAUGUUUUGUCAGCGUCCACUUUUAUUUAAGCAGAAGUAUGUUAACUUUAUUGAAUGAUUCCAGGAAAUGUACUCGGUGUAUUGAUUAUACAAAAGUUCAAACUAGUUUACAGAAUGUAUUGGAUGUCUUAGACUUAGGAGUUAGAGUAGAAUUUCCUUAGAGUUGAAUUUGGUGAAUUUACCGGUAAAGACUUUCGACCUACCUUAAUUAUGCUCUCUCAAUUUGUAUUCUGGAUGGUGCUCUAAUGGAUGGUAUGCAAUAAUUAGUGAACAUGUUACCCGUUCAUAUUGCGAUUAAAAAUGACAUACUAACAUUAUCCGUGCAUAAUUUGACCAUGAAAAUCAAUCCUUCACAACGCUCUAUAUUUAAAUUCCUAUGUUUUCAAUUUUUGCUGCUGAUUUCACGUUUCAAUGAUAAAAUGCUGUCAAUGCUUGCUAAGAGUCAUCAUCACCUCAUUCUUUAUUGCUGACACAUUCACUUUCUGCAUGAUCAAGUCCUCCUCAUCAUCAAAACAAUCGGAACAGAACAAUUGGAGACCAAACGAACGAGAGGAAAGUGACAAUUACAAUGUCGUCGAUAUUGUUGGUUGAUUUAAUUGUAAAGUUAAAAUUACCUUUGCUCAGCCUCCGUAAAGUAACAACAUGGUGCACGCAUACAAAUUAAAAUGUGUGCAUUAAAGAAGAAAGAGGCGACCUAAGUAUGUGCAUACGUACGUAUGCAGUGCAUGCGUUUAAAUCCAGUGUUGACCGGUCUGGAGGUUGAAUCCUUCCUCAAUACAUAAGCUAAUGGUAAUUUAGUGACUGAGCGAAGCAAUUAAGCUCACAGGUUGCGAAGAAUAAUGCAUUGUUCCUUCUUCUUGGCUUCAUCUCGCCGUCGUUAAGAAUAGCUCAUUGCGUGCUCGCGAUGGUUAAUUCGUGGUUUGCUGAUUUUUGAUGGGCCACAAUAUUCGUUCUUAAAUAACUCACAUUCCCAGUGUGAGAACACCCUUCGGAUGGAAUGGAUAAGGCAUUUUGGAGAAACAAAGUCAUAAAUUCUAGUGUAGCAAAAAAUGUGGCUGAGUGAAGUUGAAGGGACGAGCUAUGCUUUGCUCAUCAGCGUUCUCAUAAUUUUGGGACUGUUUGCCAUCUUGGUGUUUGGGAGUCUGCCUUGCAGUUGCAGAUACAUCUUGCUGCUCAGCCAUUGCUUGUGGAGGAAGAAAAACAGGGUGCGUGUGGGGGUCACGGACACGACCAAUCGGAUCCACGUAAUCGGGUCCGGCCGCCUGUUCCCCGAUCCAGAGUCUCUGAUCCAAUUUCCUGUCUAUCCCUUUGCCACAGCCGAGCCUCAUGGCCACUACCCACCCUCUGGUCACCACCAACAGUCUUUGAGGCUGGUCCACCACGUGUCACAAUUGCCCUGCUACCACGAGUAUGCUCAGAAUCAGCUCAAGUUCCCUCCAGCCCGCUGGGAGGACGAACCUCCCCCAGCAUAUGACUUGCUCUUCCCUUCUGGAACCUCUUCAGAGUCCGGGAAUCCGACUCCAGGUGACAACAACAGCAAAUGCCAACCUCGUCCAGUCUGAUCCACGUGCAUACAAGUUGUACUUCUGUAAAACAUGGACGCCAUUCAAUCAGUGACAAAUUUAGAAGACAACCUCCGUACAUAUAUGGAACCGGAAGGAAGUGGUGAUGAUAAUAGUAACGUAUGCAUCAAAUAUUGGUGUGUCACUUUGUUCAAUUAAUGGUGACAACAUUUCAGUCAUGCAGUGUGUGUGUACUGUUGGAUCGACCAGCAACCCAAGGUAAUGAGACAAUCAAUUACUCGACGAAGCAGUAUGUAAAGGUCAAGUCUACCGUGCGAGGUGUGCACGUCGAUGCAUGCAUGCAAACUUCAUGUGCAGACCUUCACGUCAACACAACAAUGAUUCCAUCCAAAAACGCAUUUUGUUCUCAGUCUCACUCAUAUUGACGCAUAUUGACUAACAAAUUAGCUGAAGGAACCCCGUCACGUGAGAAGACGAGGCCUGAGUGCAAUAAAAUUAAUGAGUGCUGUCUUUCCAGCAAAGUUUUAAAGAAAUGGUUUCAGAAGGGCAAGGUGCAUGGUCGGCUGACACGUACGGACGCAGGGAUGAUCGCAUCAGCAGGGCUCUGAAGCGUGCCAUUUCACCUGGGAUCAGUUUCAAUGGUGUUGUAUGUACUUACUUGCAUAUCACACAACACGAGCCGCACGGAUCUGCACUUGUGUGUGCACAUUAAUGAUGAGCAUUCCAUAAAGUUGAGAACAAUAAUCAAGCAGAAAUCUUGUUGGGAGAGGCUACGGUUCAUGAGCAGAGAACCAGCCACAAACAAAUAACAAUGAGAGUAAUAUUAUUAUUAUUAAAAUAGGAUGUGUAUUGUUUUGGAGGCUUCUUCACUUCAAUAGGGCGAGCAUCACUAUGCGAAAAAAAUCAAAUUGGAGUGUGUAGGACCAUUGUUUAUUACGCUGCUAAAAACUUGUUGAGCCAAAGAAUAACACAACCAAGCGAACGUAACGGAAGGAAGGAUACUUUGCGAGAAGUGGUCACUACACCAUGAACACGUAUUUACGUAUUUAGCUAUCGUAAUGCAGGUGUGGUUAGCCAGUGCAGCUUCCUGUAACUUCAUUCCUGAACGUCUUCUGUAAUUAAGGCUUCAGUAGUUAACUGUGCAUCACCUAAGAACCAUUACACAUAUCUGCAUACACAAUACAUCACUGUAAAUGUGUUGGGGGUUCAGAAUGUAGGCGCAGAAACAUUGCAGGUCAAAAUUAGUAACUUGCCACUCCUGGAGGAGAUCGUCAGAAGUGCUUGAAAAAUAAAUGGGGGGUGAGGUGAACCUCGAUUUUUUCCACCUUGGUCUUCUCCUCGUCGUCAUAAUGGUCUUCAUCACCGGGAUCGUCCUCUGCGUCGCUGUCGUCGGCGUCUGCUGCUUUCACUGGCUGGACAAUAGCAAAAGUCAUCAGUCUGAGGCUGGGGCAACGGAUGGGGAUAAAUCUCCAACGCCUUCGCAAAUUAGGGAACAGAUUUGGAGGCUGGAUAACGAGCUGGCCCAACAAUUGAGACGCUACCAAGAGCUUCGUGGGAAGAGGCGAGGCGAAGGUCCAGAUAUACCUCCUUCCUACGAAACUCUGUUCCCCAUUCCCCCACAACAAGCAUCUUCAUCCAACAACCACAAUGCUCACUGGAGAGACAAUUUCACACUCUUCGUCUAAAUCCACAAUAAUCUGCUCAAAUGAAAUAAAAAUCGAUUUGAUCUCAAUUUCUAAGUG